rnacentral:rRNA from 1 species
UACAGCGGUCUCAAGCGUUGUUCGGAUUCAUUGGGCGUAAAGGGCGCGUAGGCGGCGGGGUAAGUCGGGUGUGAAAUCUCAGAGCUCAACUCUGAAACUGCACUCGAUACUGCUCUGCUUGAGGACUGGAGAGGAGACUGGAAUUCACGGUGUAGCAGUGAAAUGCGUAGAUAUCGUGAGGAAGACCAGUGGCGAAGGCAGCCUCCUGGGCCAACACUGACGCUCAUGCACGAAAGCGUGGGGAGCAAACAGG